AAAGUGGUGUUGGGUCUGAGGGGGCAGGCGAGGGGCGAGAGGGCUUGGGACGUCAAGAGUUAAGUCUCAGCCCGGGCCAUGCAAAGAAACCGUGAGUUCGCGGGUUCCCGGUGGAAUUCUAGCCUUCCAGGGCGGCCACCAACCCCCGCCGCGUGAGCUGUACUUGCUCCCUCGCCUGGCCCACGAGCAACAGGCUCUGAGGCCAGGCUCCCCCCGGAGCUCGUGCUCCUGCUGCCACUGGUGCCUGGGUGCGUCUGGACCGCCUGCGAGUGGGCCGGUGCGUCCCGCCAGUGCGUGCUCUGCAGCCCAACAAAGCUCAGGAAUUGCAAUAAAUUCAACUAUUGGGUCAGGUCCAGGACCUCCUGUAUAAAGCAAGCAUCCUCUUGAUGAACGUGAGUCUGGAACGAAAUUAAAAGGAGUGCAGCCCAUCACUGCAGUGUCAUCAAUUUGGAAAAAAAGAUGAGUGAACACCACCGAGCCAGAGUUUUCUUUCUGAGAAAAAGAGCUUGAUGAAUUCGGAGCCAAUUCUUUCAGCAAGAGGAUUGUUUGUUCACUGCUUGGCUGCAGAUUACUUGCCCUUGAAGCCCGAGUCAUCAAGUAAGAAGUCUGAGACGGUCAUGUCGUAAGGAAGGCCAGGCCAUGUGGAGAAGCUCUGUAUGACUGUUCUGGCCCACAGCUCCUGCUGAGGUCCCAGCCAACAGUCAGCAUUGACUGUGACACGUGUGAGCAAGUAAACUUUCAAGAUGACUGCAACCUCCAUCAUCAUCUGACAUAACUGCAUGAGGGAAGCCACGUGAGGGCCAUCUCACUAUGCCCACUGAAAUGCCAGACCUGUGAAAGAUAGUGGUUAAAAAAAAGAUUGUUGUGUUGAGCCCCUGAAGUUUGAGGUACUUUGUUAUGUUAAACUAGAGAAACAGAAUGGUCAUUUCUGAGUUACCUCAUCACCCCUGGUGUUCUCUCUUACCUAGUACCUGUUUCACCAAUUCUAAUAAAUGUCUUCUCUGUGAAGUACCUUCGGGUCAGUGCUGUUUUCCUGACUAGAACCAUACUGAUAACCCUCCCAGGCAGGGCCUAUACAAAACAGCCAGGAAAGAUUGAAAAGAAAAAAAUCAGCUCACAUGUUGGUCUUUUUUAGUUACAUGUCUUUUGAUAUUUAUCAUCAACUGGUUUUCUAAAGCCAACAUGGUAAGAUGUUUCUGCUCUGUCAGAAACCAUAAAUGUAACCUUUUCAUUAAGUACAGAAAACUGCUACAUUUGAGUAAGUACAGGUCAUAAGAGUUUCAGCCUUUGUUUCUUAAAGUUCUAAAAUAAACGUGAUUCCUUAGUGACAUCCUUUGUUCUUUACUACAGCGAACUAACUGCCUUUUCCUUCUAUGCCUACUGCCUUGAAGGGGGAAAGGUUUAAAACACACCUUUAACUCUGCGUUUACUUUAGUGUGGUUUCCUUAGGAAAGUUUCAGUCUGUUUGUGUAAGAUAAGGAAAUGUAGUGAAGAUGAUUCUGGCACACUGUCGUCCUCACUACCUCAACGUUGGCUUUGCCUGUGAUUCGCAGCAUACGUGGUAAGGUGCCUGGUGCUCCCAGAAGCAGCCGUGCACCGUGGGCUACUUCCGACUCAGAACUUGGAUGUGCAUAGAUGGAGGCAGGAUUCCAAAGUGGACUGAAUGGGAACCUUCCUCUCAGGGCGUCAGGUUCUGUUUGGGCUGGCUUACAUUUUCUAGCCUUGGACUGCCCGGGUCCCGAGCUGCUCAGAUUCCAGGAAGCUAGAUUUGGGUGCUAGUUCCAUGGAGAAGACAAACUACCCAGAACAGACAUUGCCUCACUUUCAAAGCCCUGUUUUGCCUGGACAGCAAGUCUGCUAACGUCGUUAGAACCAUGACAUCUGUUUAGCUCCCAUGUUGCCCUUACCACCAACUCCUUUGUCUCUGAUUUUAUUCUGCAUGCGACCCAUGACCUGGGACAGCCUCCUCUUUCUCUAGUUCAGCUUUGGGCACUGGGGUCCCCUUCAUUUUCUGACACAGGAGAGACGAAAUUAGAAGACUCUAGUUGGUUGGGUGGUAGAAAACAAGUUGUGCUGCCCGAACCCACAGAACCAGGACAGGCCCCCACAAAGAACUGAACUGCAGCCUUACCUUAAUUUCUUCAUUCUUGACCUCCUCCAUUCAGUUCAGUUCCUAUCUGUCUCAAGUUCAUUGCAUCAGAUCCUUCUAGUACUAGAGCUUAGUCCUGAGCCCUUAUAUACUCUACUGAGUCUCUGACAACCUGACCAGUUCUGGCCCAGCUCUUUUGCUAGCUCCCUUUUUACUAUCCAUGUCUGUAAGCUGUCUCCCAUUUACUUGGGCACAGGAUGGAGUCUGUUCCCAGAGAAUGAGUCAAAACUGUGACCCGGUCCCCUCUCCCACCUCACCUUAGCUUGCAUUGAUGACCCAUAUCUGGACUCUUCUGCUGCCAUGCCCCACCCCUCAUUGGAUACAGGCAAUUACCUGAAUGGGAAAUGCAGUUUGUCACGCCCUUCUGGAUACCUUUUCAGUCUGUUUUCUCUAACUUGAGUGCUGUCCAUUCCUGGCUUCUCUUUUCCCUGCCCUCUCUCCUCUUUUCAGUAGGUCCUUUGUCUGCAUUUGCCUGAAUAAUGGCACUCUCCUCUGUCUUAACCUUUUUCUUGGCCUCUAUCGAGCUUCACUUUCCUUCUUGUUGUUCCAAAUAAAAUAACAUAUAAAGCUUUGCAUUGAAAUUUGAGAGGGAAGGAAGAUAAAUGGCAAGGUAAGGUUGUAAAACCAGAUGCUGUGGAGCCCAACAGGUGUGGAGUAGAAGGGCAAAUAAUGGAGAAACAGGUGACCAGCAUCUAUCAGGAGCAACUAAUAGGAAAGAGGAUCCAUAGCAAUACUUACCGCCUCAGGUGGCUAUAUAGUCAACAAUGCACAGAGCACAGCAAUAAGCGAAGUGAACUUAAAACUUAACCCAAGAGUGUAGAUAUGAUCUCUUAGGCAUUAUUCAGACUUGGUAGCAUGGAACAGUGGUGAUGGAACAAUGUCUCCAUUGGAAGCCAGUCUUAGUUUCGACAAUGUCCCUAACUAUCCAUGAGACCACCCUGGUUCUCUCCUUUGAAAAUUGAUCAAACAUAUUUUUAUCUCUAAGUUUCUUUCUAGUUCUGACAUUCUGUAAGUAUUGCCCGUGACCUCCAUUCUCAUGAUUGGGCUGGUACAGUAUGGAUUUAGCCAACUGCUAUUUUCAGGUUCUCUUAAGAGGUAUACGUGUCCUAGAAAUGGAAGAAAAAUUAUAGUUAUUGGGAGGUGAUGAUGUAUGAAACCAACUAGAUCAGUUGUGAAACGUUACCGUGGUGAACUAUUUAGUUUCUGGUUUCCUAAAAUUUACAGCAUUUUGGCAUCGGGCUCAUGAGGUAUCUGCCACUAUCAAGUGAGUUUGUACUGCAUCUCUCAGAGACUUUUACUUAUUUUUUUUUUUUACACAUGAUGCUUCCAAAAGAGGUAUUUGAGUGACAGAAGCUGUGGGGAGCACAUAAAAUAAGGUCAUAGAAUAAGGAAGCAUCAAGGAUAAGAGGCUAGUUGCAUUUUCUGAGCAUGGAAGCAGGAACCUGAUUCCAUCCAGGAGUGGGAAAGAAGGAACAUCAAUGAGUUGGUCUUUCCGUUCUGAUACCAUGAUGUCUAUAAUCUGGAAUGCAAGUUUUGUGUUUGAAUCUCAGCUCUGCCUUAAUGAUUUUGAGUCAAGUAUUUAGUGUCUCAGUUUUCUCAUCUGUAAAGUUGGAACAAUAUUAUAUAUUUCACAGAUUUACUUUAAGGACUAAAAGAGGUAACAGAUGGAGCAUUUUUUGGCACAUAGGAAAUCCUUAUUAAAUGUGAUUUUUCUCAUUGUUAUUUAUUAUUUAUGAAGCAAUCAAAAUAGAGACUAUCCAGUAGGAAAUGCAUCGGUAUAAGCUAAAGUGAAUUUCUCACUUCAAAUUACACUUUUUAAGGAUCCAGGUUCUUUUCUCCAAUUAGACUUCACAAUUUAAAAUUACAAAAUUUAAUGGCUGAGAAAUUAAGAAAAAUGUAGUUCACAAAUGAAAAACCAAGAAUAUUUUGGCAUUUGAAAUAGCGAACAGUCUAAACUUAUCUAAAUAGGCCAUGAAAAUGGAAUAUGUUUUUAUAUCUUCCAAGUUUGAGAAGCAACUUCUCAGUCACAUGUUCCAGUUACGAUAUUACAUCCAAAAUAGCAAAAACAGUUUUCUCAGGAACAUUUCUAUUCUAAGAGCUAAUCUUACUUAUUGAAUGGUAAGUUACCACCACCACCAAGCUUUUUACUGAUCCUCUCACUUUAUUUGUAAACUAAGUAGACAGUCAAUAAAAGUGGUAAAAACAUGUCUUUGGACACAUAGUGCUUUUGGACAUUUGUGCCCUCAACUGUGGGGAUAAAAAUAUAUAUCCUUUUUAUAGAGAAAGUGAGGUAAAACCAGAUAGCAACUGUGGAGUAUUAAGAACUCUUGAGAAGGAAAUAUUUGGGUAGAUUUUCUUAAUCUAAAGCAUAGCUUGGGAAAAAAUAAUGAAAAUAAUGACUUAGAGUUAUAUGAUAUUUUAUAGGUGUUCAGUAACCCUGUAUUUAUAGCUGUUCUAAAAACCAUCUUUUUGAAUGAAUGGACUACUAUCCAGUUUUCUUUCCUUUGAGGUUGAAACUCAGAAAAGGGGUAAAUAUUUAUCUUUAAAUGUGCAAGCAGUAUUUCUCUUUUUAUUUGCCUUUAUUGCAAAAGGCUUUUCUUUAGCAUUCUUGGGAAUUACGUCAGCAGUACCUACUCAUUUUUUCUCAGAAGCUGUCUAUGACCUUCUGUGUCUGAGCCUAAGCAUCCCUUCUACCUACUUCCAUAUUCCUUGGCACUUUGUCUCUAUCAUACUGCUUCUCAGACUGUACGGGAAGUUCUUGGAGGGCAGGAGUUUAGCAAGUUUUGAAUCCCUGCUGUUUAGCAUAUAUGCUCAAUCAAAUGGGUUGACUGGAUAGCUGAAGAAUGAAUGGAGCAAGAGUCUUGGGGAAGAAGCAGGGGUGAUAUGCAUGCCCACAGAUGGAAUGCUGCUAACAGCCAUGAAAUCAGGGUUCCUAUUUAGAUGGGAUAUACUGGGGAGGGAGGUAACUGAGAUUCCAGAGUAUCAGCAAGGCUUGGGUUAAGAUUCGGUCCCAAUUUAAUCUGUUUUCCAAAUCCUCCUAAGGCUACUGUGGUCUGAGAGAAACUGAAGAUAAAUCAGUCCAGUGGUUUUUAGUAAGAGAAUUACUCCCCUCUGUGGGGGGGGGGCAUUCUGGAAAUUAUGGGGGAGUGUUUUUUUCUGUUUAAUAUUUAGGGAGGAGUCUCCUCUGUCAUUUUAUAAAGUUGGAUCCAGGGAUUCUAGAUGUCUUGCCAUGUGUGGGAGAGACCUGCACAAUAAAUGUGUAUCUAUUCUGUACAAAUUUCAUAUUAUCUUAGCUUUGAAAUGAACUCCAUCUGAUGUAUGAACA